rnacentral:rRNA from 1 species
UGAAUACGAGACGCUAAGGCGUCGAAGUAGUGUAUGUCAUACUUCCAAGAAAAGCUUGCACUGUCAUAGAUAAAAAACGCCUGUACCAUAACCGACACAGGUGGGUAGGUAGAGUAUACUAAGGGGCGCGAGAUAACUCUCUCUAAGGAACUCGGCAAAAUAACUCCGUAACUUCGGGAGAAGGAGUGCCUUAUUCGUAAGGUUGCAAUAACAAGAUCCAAGCAACUGUUUAUCAAAAACACAGGUCUCCGCUAAGUCGUAAGACGAUGUAUGGGGGCUGACGCCUGCCCAGUGCCAGAAGGUUAAAGAAGUUGGUUAGCAAUUGCGAAGCUGAUAACUGAAGCCCUGGUGAACGGCGGCCGUAACAAUAACGGUCCUAAGGUAGCGAAGUUCCUUGUCGGGUAAGUUCCGACCCGCACAAAAGGCGUAAUGAUUUGGAUACUGUCUCGGAGAGGGGCUCGGUGAAAUAGACUUGUCUGUGAAGAUGCGGACUACCUGCACCAGGACAGAAAGACCCUAUGAAGCUUUACUGUAACUUGAAAUUGAAAUUGGACUUUAUUCGCGCAGUAUAGGUGGGAGGCGUUGAUUAUAAUCUUGUGGGAUUAUUGGAGCCAUCAGUGAGAUACCACUCUUGUAAUGUUAGAUUUCUAACUUUGAAUCAUUAUCUGGUCAAAAACAGUUUCAGGCGGGCAGUUUGACUGGGGCGGUCGCCUCCUAAACGGUAACGGAGGCGUACAAAGGUUUCCUCUGAACGGUUAGAAAUCGUAUCUAGAGUGUAAAGGCAUAAGGAAGCUUGACUGUGAGACCUACAAGUCGAGCAGGGACGAAAGUCGGUCUUAGUGAUCUGACGGUACUGAGUGGAAAGGCCGUCACUCAACGGAUAAAAGUUACUCUAAGGAUAACAGGCUGAUCUCCCCCAAGAGUUCACAUCGACGGGGAGGUUUGGCACCUCGAUGUCGGCUCAUCGCAUCCUGGGGCGGUAGUACGUCCCAAGGGUUGGGCUGUUCGCCCAUGAAAGCGGUACGCGAGCUGGGUUCAGAACGUCGUGAGACAGUUCGGUCCAUAUCCGGUGUAGGCGUUAGAAUAUUGAGAGGAGCCUUCUUUAGUACGAGAGGACCGAGAAGGACAUACCUCUGGUGUACCAGUUAUCGUGCCAACGGUAAACGCUGGGUAGCUAUGUAUGGAGUGGAUAACCGCUGAAAGCAUCUAAGUGGGAAGCCCACCUCAAGAUAAGUAUUCUCAC